GGCACUUGUCCUCCACUUGCUCUCAGGCCUUGCGUCUACAGUCUACGUUCGUCACCAUCCACUGGACAGAGGGGCUUUUCUGAUUAAGGCAGACAGUAGCAUUUUUGCUACGGAUAUAACACAAAUAUUACAGGACUAUAGCAAUACCAAUACUGUGGUGCUGGAGCAGUCAGACACACAGAAAAACAGGAAGGAAUAGAAGACCCAGACUCAAAUCGAUGCAACGGCAGCCACCACAGUUUUGACAAAGUCUCCAAAAAUACACAAUCUGGGAAAGAUAGGAUCUUCAACAAAUGGUCCUGGGAAAAUGGAAUGUUCAUGUGUAGAAGGAACUUAACUCCUAUUCCACACUUAGUAUAACUCUAAAUGGACCAGUGACUUCAACACAGAACCUGAACCUGAGACGUUCUUACAAGAGAGGGUAGGAUUCAUUACAGCACACACACGGCACACGGCACACACACAUUCAGCAUACAUACACAGCACACACACAGCACACGGCACACAGCAUACAAAUACAGCAUACAGCACACACACACAUACAGCACACACACACACAGCACACACACAUUCAGCAUGCAUACACAGCACACACACAGCACACGGCACACAGCAUACAAACACAGCAUACAGCACACACAGCACACACACAUACAGCACACAUACAUAGCACACACACACACAGCAUACAGCACACACACACACACACAGCACAUGGCACACAGCAUAUAUACACACAGCAUACAGCGCACACACACAACACACAGCACACAACAUACAGCACACAUACACAGCACACAUGCACAGCACACACACAGAGCAUACACACAGCAUACAGCACACAAAGCACACAUAGCACACACAUACCACAGCACACACACACACACCACAGCACAUAGCACAGUACACACAACACACAGCAUAGAGCAUACAGUGAGAACUCGGAUCAGGAAAUAUAGCUAACGGUUGACCAAUGUGACCUCAUGAACCUGAAAGGCUUCUGUCCACAAAGGAAACAGACAGUUCGGAAGAGGCAGCCUGCAGGACAGAAAUGCUUUGUCUGGGAAGACAUUUAGCAUAGAUUUAUAAGCACCAAGAUUAAGAGAAAGGAAGCCCUUGGGAAGAACCUACCCCCCCCCGAAAACAUUAGUGUGCACUUCUCAAAGAGGAUGUGCACGUACGAGUCCUAACAGUGGCUGCAUGUGGGAUGCUGGAGACUUUCUGGGAUUUUAUUGUUCAGCCAGUCUCAAGGGGAUUCCUACCCCAUAGCAUACCUGCAUCUCUCCUCUUUAUGACACCCAAGAUGAAUAAAGGCUACAGAGACUCUUCCGAUGGGAUCACAAUCCAAUAAAGUAAAACCAGGAACUGCUAGAACUUCACGUGUAGGUUAGGAUGAGUCCUUUCACUACAAAUGGGGUUCAGGUGCCAGGUCUAAAAGAUCAUUAGAAGGUAGAUCGGCCUUCCGUGGCUGUUGUGUUGGAAGUCUUGGUUCUUGGUGGAGUCUGUAGUGAGACCUCCCAUCCUUCCCAUGGUUCGCCUGUCUGUCUAGCUACCUCACUAAUUAAGCUCACCUUGUUCUGUUUUAUUUUUCUGUUUACUUUAAAAAUAUAUUCUCCCAUCCAUGUUAGCAUUCUAUUGAUGGUGUCC
rnacentral:lncRNA from 1 species